rnacentral:rRNA from 1 species
UAGUGGCGGACGGGUGAGUAACGCGUGAGUAACCAACCUUACAGACAGGGACAACCCCGGGAAACUGGGGCUAAUACCGGAUACGUUCCUUGGGGGGCUUCCCCUAAGGAAGAAAGGCAGCCUCUGACUUAAGCUGUCGCUGUUUGACGGACUCGCGUCUGAUUAGCUUGUUGGUGGGGUAAUGGCCUACCAAGGCAACGAUCAGUAGCCGGCCUGAGAGGGUGGCCGGCCACACUGGGACUGAGACACGGCCCAGACUCCUACGGGAGGCAGCAGUGGGGAAUAUUGCACAAUGGGGGAAACCCUGAUGCAGCAACGCCGCGUGAGCGAUGAAGGUUUUCGAAUCGUAAAGCUCUGUCCUAAGGGAAGAUAAUGACGGUACCUUAGGAGGAAGCCCCGGCUAACUACGUGCCAGCAGCCGCGGUAACACGUAGGGGGCAAGCGUUAUCCGGAAUUAUUGGGCGUAAAGGGUGCGUAGGCGGCCUUAUGGGUCAGAGGUUAAAUACUAUAGCUUAACUAUAGUCCGCCUUUGAAACUAUAAGGCUUGAGUGCAGGAGAGGAGAGUGGAAUUCCUAGUGUAGCGGUGAAAUGCGUAGAUAUUAGGAGGAAUACCAGUGGCGAAGGCGACUCUCUGGACUGCAACUGACGCUAAGGCACGAAAGCGUGGGUAGCGAACAGGAUUAGAUACCCUGGUAGUCCACGCCAUAAACGAUGAGUGCUAGGUGUUGGGGGUCAAACCUCGGUGCCGCAGUUAACGCAUUAAGCACUCCGCCUGGGGAGUACGUUCGCAAGAAUAAAACUCAAAGGAAUUGACGGGGACCCGCACAAGCAGCGGAGCAUGUGGCUUAAUUCGAAGCAACGCGAAGAACCUUACCUGGAUUUGACAUCCCUCUGACCGUCUCCUAAUCGAGACCUUUCCUUCGGGGACAGAGGAGACAGGUGGUGCAUGGUUGUCGUCAGCUCGUGUCGUGAGAUGUUGGGUUAAGUCCCGCAACGAGCGCAACCCCUAUCCUUAGUUGCCAUCAGUUAAAGCUGGGCACUCUAAAGAGACUGCCGGGGAUAACUCGGAGGAAGGUGGGGAUGACGUCAAAUCAUCAUGCCCCUUAUGUCCUGGGCUACACACGUGCUACAAUGGCCUGUAACAGAGGGAAGCGAAGCCGUAAGGCGGAGCAAAACUCAGAAACCAGGUCCCAGUUCGGAUUGUGGGCUGCAACUCGCCCACAUGAAGUCGGAGUUGCUAGUAAUCGCGAAUCAGCAUGUCGCGGUGAAUACGUUCCCGGGCCUUGUACACACCGCCCGUCACACCAUGGAAGUUGGGGGGACCCGAAGCCGGUGACC